rnacentral:rRNA from 1 species
AUUGAACGCUGGCGGCAUGCUUUACACAUGCAAGUCGAACGGCAGCGGGGGCUUCGGCCUGCCGGCGAGUGGCGAACGGGUGAGUAAUGCAUCGGAACGUGCCCAUGUCGUGGGGGAUAACGUAGCGAAAGCUACGCUAAUACCGCAUACGUCCUGAGGGAGAAAGCGGGGGGAUCUUAGGACCUCGCGCGAUUGGAGCGGCCGAUGUCGGAUUAGCUAGUAGGUGGGGUAAAGGCCCACCUAGGUGACGAUCCGUAGCGGGUCUGAGAGGAUGAUCCGCCACACUGGGACUGAGACACGGCCCAGACUCCUACGGGAGGCAGCAGUGGGGAAUUUUGGACAAUGGGCGCAAGCCUGAUCCAGCCAUGCCGCGUGAGUGAAGAAGGCCUUCAGGUUGUAAAGACUCUUUCGGUCCGGGAACGGAAAUACGUGGUCUCUAACAUAGGCCAUGGAUGACGGUACCGGACUAAGAAGCACCGGCUAACUACGUGCCAGCAGCCGCGGUAAU